GUCCGUAUGAACCAGAGUUUGAUCACAUUUACAUCGUCGAAAACGUACGGAAAAAGGGAGCAAAAAUAGCUCAAACUAGAGCAAGAGAUCGCGUCCAACAAAGUCCAGAGACUCCCACAACACAAAAAACAGUCACAAACCGAGAGGAAUGCAGGAGUUAUACAUCGCUUAGUAACAACGAUCGAAACGUAAAUUAUGUUGGCAGUUCAACGAUGUG